rfam:Rattus norvegicus chromosome X, whole genome shotgun sequence.
GGGGAUUUAGCUCAGUUGUAGAGCGCUUGCCUAGCAAGCGCAAGGCCCUGGGUUCAGUCCCCA